rnacentral:misc_RNA from 1 species
UCUGUUAUAAGUUUUUAUUUAUUUACUUACUUACACACAUAGUCCAGGUUCUCGUUUACUCUCUAACUUUUUUUUCUAUCUUCCUUCCAGCGAACUAACAAACUUGUAACCCCAUUCCUUUCUCUCUCUCUCUCGCUGUCUCACUCCCUACUCUCUCUCUCCCUUUCUCUAUCGGAAUUCCGUCAAGUCCGGAGCCUUUCUCAUGUCCCCUGGUGCAAGGAAGUGGACUUCGCCAUGGGGUCCUGCCUCAGUCUUGACCAAGAAGAGCUGAAAGCUCGGGCCAGGAGUGCCGCUAUUGACAAACAACUACGGGCAUCUGCCAAAGAGGAAGAAACUGUAGUGAAAAUCUUGCUUUUAGGUGCUGCUGAAAGUGGUAAAAGUACCCUGGUAAAGCAGAUGAAAAUUAUUCACAAUGACGGUUUCUCCAAAGACGAAUUAUUGGCUUUCAGGCCUGCAGUACUAGACAAUCUGUUGAAUUCCAUGAAGUAUGUUUUGGCAGGGAUGGGAGUAUUACGGAUUAAUCUGGAUGACCCCCGAAACAGGCUGAACGCUCAGAAGGUGCUUGCAUGCAAUUACUGCAUGACCGAAAACCAAACCAUGAUUCCAUAUGUGUGGGAAGCACUCUACAAUCUAUGGAUGGACAAAGGUGUUAGAAUUGCAGUAUCACGGGGCUACGAAUAUGAACUGAAUGAUUCAGCAAUCUACUAUUUUGAAAACAUGAACCGGAUCUGCUCAAUGACAUAUAUUCCAAACUCCACAGAUGUGUUACGUGCCCGAGUACGUACGACCGGCGUUUUAGAAACCUGCUUCAGAAUCAACUAUGUGAUAUUUCGAAUGUUUGAUGUUGGUGGUCAGCGGUCAGAACGGAGGAAGUGGAUCCAGUGUUUUGAUGAUGUGCGAGGGGUUUUGUUUGUGGUGGCCCUUAGUUCCUAUGACAUGUGCCUGUAUGAGGAUCAUACCGUGAACCGAUUGCAAGAAAGUCUGACCCUUUUCAAAGGCAUUUGUAAUAACUCAUUCUUCUAUUUCUCCUGUAUGAUACUCUUUCUCAACAAACUCGAUUUAUUCAAAGACAAAAUCCUCCAUUCUCAUCGUCAUCUACAUCUGUUCUUUCCGGAAUAUAAAGGUUCAAUCCAGGACGUAGACGCAGCGGCCAUGUACAUCCAGAACCUAUUUCAAAUGCAGAAUCGAAACCAGUACAAAGUCAUCUACCCCCAUUUCACCACGGCAACCGACACCAGCAACAUCCAGGUCGUCUUUGAAGUCGUGAUGGAAUCCAUUCUGAAAGAGAACCUCAAAGCAGCCGCUCUCCUUUGAACCAUGGAAAUCAAUUCACCUGUAACCGAUGGUCACACACAGAUGCCAAGAACUCAUACUGCUAUUACUACUACUACUACUACUACUACUGCUGCUGCUGCUACUGCUGCUGCUGAUGUUGCUGUUUUUGCAGGGGUGGGUGGUGAAGGGGAGGUUGUUUUUAGUUGUUGAAUUUUUACAAAAAAACAAACUUUUUUUUUUUUAUUUUCAAGCCAGACAAAUAUGAGAAAAUCUCGUGGGUUCUGCAGUUUAGAAUACAAAACCCACCCCAACCCUUGUUCGUGGUGCCAUCUGAUGUUGACUGAGUGAAAGUAAAGUUGCGGAGUUUAUGUGUGAGAAAGCUGAUCUUUAGAUGUAUAUAUAUAUAUAUAUAUAUAAUAUAUAUAUAUAGCGGUGCUCCAGCAUGGCCGCAGUCAAAUGACUGAAACAAGUAAAA